rnacentral:rRNA from 1 species
CCUACGGGCGGCAGCAGUGGGGAAUAUUGGACAAGGGGGGCAACCCUGAUCCAGCCAUGCCGCGUGUGUGAAGAAGGCCCUCGGGUUGUAAAGCACUUUCAGUGAGGAAGAACGCCUGGUGGUUAAUACCCAUCAGGAAAGACAUCACUCACAGAAGAAGCACCGGCUAACUCCGUGCCAGCAGCCGCGGUAAUACGGAGGGUGCGAGCGUUAAUCGGAAUUACUGGGCGUAAAGCGCGCGUAGGUGGCUUGAUAAGCCGGUUGUGAAAGCCCCGGGCUCAACCUGGGAACGGCAUCCGGAACUGUCAAGCUAGAGUGCAGGAGAGGAAGGUAGAAUUCCCGGUGUAGCGGUGAAAUGCGUAGAGAUCGGGAGGAAUACCAGUGGCGAAGGCGGCCUUCUGGACUGACACUGACACUGAGGUGCGAAAGCGUGGGUAGCAAACAGGAUUAGAUACCCGAGUAGUC